UACGGAGGGAGCUAGCGUUGUUCGGAUAUACUGGGCGUAAAGCGCACGUAGGCGGCGCCGUCAGUCAGGGGUGAAAUCCCGGAGCUCAACUCCGGAACUGCCCUUGAAACUGCAGUGCUAGAAUCUUGGAGAGGCGAGUGGAAUUCCGAGUGUAGAGGUGAAAUUCGUAGAUAUUCGGAAGAACACCAGUGGCGAAGGCGACUCGCUGGACAAGUAUUGACGCUGAGGUGCGAAAGCGUGGGGAGCAAACAGG
rnacentral:rRNA from 1 species